rnacentral:lncRNA from 1 species
GGGACAAUGUUCCCCUCCUUGCAAUAAUUACUUAAUGGGCCGGGACGGAUAACAAUGAAUUAUUUUAUUAUCCCUGAAUGAAUUAUUAAAAUUCGAAGUUGAUACCAAACUUUAUUUCACUAUUAAGAAUUUAAAAUAAACAUCGUAUAAUAUAGUAAAUAAAAUAUUUUGACAUUUUCUAAAUUAAAAAGAUAAAUAAAAUAGGAAAAGUUUCAAUUCCCUCCUAAUUUUCUUUGGCCUCCCACCAAAACACGUUCCCUAGUUUUAGAGAACUCUUCCUCUUCCUCAACCAAAAUUUUUUUCUCUUACAAAUCAUCUCUACAAAUUGCAAGAUCAUUCUAUCACCCUCUCCAAAAAUUCAACCGUUACUUAUCUCAAAUAUGGCUGGUCAUUCAUAAUUUCUCUCUUCUUCUUCCACACAGGUACAUAUUCUUGGUGAGAUUUUCCCCCUGAUCUUCUCCUUGUUUUUUCCCUCUUCUUUUCCUCUCUUUUCUUCCACAAUUACUAUUUCUAGCAAGUUAUGUCAUGGGCUUUUUUAUUGUGUUCGAUUUAAUUUUCUAUUUUGGGUUUUUUGGGUUCUUGAUUUCUCUAUUUGUGCAUAUCUACGUGGGUUUGUAAAAAGGUAGUAGUAAGUGAGAGGUAGAUUUUUUCCCAGGCAUCUUACAUGUCUACUGUUUCCUUAUUUUUAUUUAUUCUUAAGCUCGUGACAUUUUUUCUUGAUUCGGCCUCCUUCGAAUUUGUACGUUCAUUAGAGCUUUCUUGGUGGAAGAGCAAAAGAUUGUGAAGAAGGUUUUGAAGAUUUAGAAGGCCAAGGAAAAGCUAUCUGCUAAGAGCUAAAGAGUAAGUCAUAUGUCAAUAUAGUUUUGGUUACUGUUAGUCAAGGAUGAUUGGAAUUGUAAUCGGAGGCUUCCAUGCUUAAAUUAUAUUUAUUUCUUGGAGGAUGUUUGGGGGGCCGG